rnacentral:lncRNA from 1 species
CCCUAAAAAAGAAGCGACAACCAGACCCUUUACCUUUCUUUCACCAUGCCCAAAUCAAAAAAGUCCUAGUAGCCAUAACUGUCGUGACACUACCACUAACUAUGCCAAGAUUUUCCCAUUUCUCCGUUCUUCAACUCGUGACUCCCAUAUUCGUAUAACAAUGAAAAUUUCAACUCAAAUCCGUCAUUUAAUGGACUGAAAAAGCAAUAUAAUGGGAGAAAAGAGGGAUUCAUUUGGAUUCAAAUUUUGAAUCUCCUUCUUCCCACAUUUUUGUGAAUUUUUUAUUUCAAAUUCGGACUUUGAAGCACGAAUUUGCACUUAUAAAUAUGGGUUUUUUCCAUUCUCCAAGGACAAGAGCGAAAAUAAGGGGAAAGGGGGCUAAAAAUUCAAAAAGAAAAAGAGAAAGUCCAAAAAAUCACAAGUUGAAAGAGGAGAAAUCAGUGAGGAAAAAAAAAGGGUAUUUGAAAAAAUCACAAGUAAGGUUACAAAAUUGCUAGUUUCCCUUUCUUGUUUUCAAUCUAACUUUGUGGAAUAGGAAAAUAAUAUUUUUAAAAUUUUUCAAUCAUAGCUUCAAUUGCCUUUUUGUUAGGACAUAUUUUUUUAUAUUCAGCAAAUACUUUAGAAAUAGCAGUAAUAGUUACUAAAACAGAAGAAAUAGUUGGAGUAUAUUGAGCAGAUACUGUGUUUGUAGCUUUAUAAAAAGUUUUCAAAAAUUUACAAAGUUCUUCUACUUCAGUCCAACCAUCUUCGUCUAGCAUUAAAUUAACAUCCUCAUUAUAAGAAUUAUAAACUAAUUGUAUAGGUUUACGAUAUAUAACAGCAACUUCAAACAUUUGAAACAAAGAAUUCCAUCUAGUAGGAAUUUCUUUUGGAAUUUUUCUAUAUGGAAGGCCACAUUGUUCACAUUUAUGUUUAAAAUCAUCCAUUACAACCUUUUUUUUUUUUUAAACAUAGAACUACAAGUAAUUCGCACUUUAAGACAACCAUUUCUAAACAAAUGAAUACCAUCAUGUACUAUCAAAUUUAAAAUAUGUGCAGAACAUCUAACAUGAAAAUGAUCUUGAUACAUUAAACAUAAUUUAGUUUUUAACUCGUCAAUAGCUUUCAAAUUAUUAGAAGCAUUAUCUAAUGUGCAUGCCAUAGGUUUACCAAUAAAUCUAAAAUAUUUCAUGCUCUCUGCUAUUGUACUAGCUAUAUACAUACUGAUUUUAGACUCAUCGACAUAUUUAUAAGCAAUAAUUUUUUUUUGUAUGUUCCAAUCGUGAUCAAUCCAAUGAGCCGUGAGAGUAAAAUAAUCAUUACCGACAACACUAGUACCCAUAUCAGAAGUAACAGCUAUUCUACCAUCAAAUUUAUCAAAUAAGCAAUGAAGAAAAUGACAAUGUUCAGCUUGAAAUUUAAAAAUAUCAUUUUUAAUUGUAUUUCGUGAAAAACCUUUAAAAGAGGAAUAUACACUUGUUGAAUAUAAUAAAUAAAAUUGGGAUGCGAAGGAAAAUUAAAAGGCAAACCCAUAAUAGCAACCAUUUUCGCUAGUUCUUCUCUAUCUACAUCUUCACUAUAUGUCGAGGAUGAACUUGCUUCAGUCGGGUUAAACAUGUCUAAAUGCGUUUGAACCAUAUUACCUCCUACAGAUUCAUCUACAAAUGUUGUACCAUUUUUUUUUGCCUUAGCCUCGUUUUUUAGACCAAUACAUUCUUUAUUACGUCUCAUCAAAUGCGAAGUUAGCAAUCCUGUCCCACCAUUUUUUCGCCCCGUCAAAUGUUUAAAAACAUUCUUGCAUUUAUUGCAAGUAGCAAUACUUUUUACCCAAUCAUGCUCCAUAAAUUUCCAAACCAAAGACCUUUUAGUACGUUCGGUACCUUUGGCCCUAGUAAUAAAGGGGGAAGUUCUUCACCGUAUUCCGAUAAUUCCGUAAUCGGACUAGUAGGGGUAGGAGUCACCUAAUUCUUGUUCUUCUAUAUCAUCUUCCUCUGGUAAGUCUUCCUCAAAAUUAUUAUAACGCUUAUUCAGGGUCUCAUUAUCUAAUUCCAUACCGAUACCAACAUCGAAACCAUUAGGUUGUGAUAAUGAAGUUUCAUUAAAUCUAGUCGGUAAUGAACUAGUACUAGCCUUACUUUUUUUAUUUCUACGAAAGACCUUACCAAAAAUUAGUUUUUUACCACUACUAUUUUUUUCAAAAUCCGUAAUUCAAAAUAAAAUAUUAAAACAAGCAAUACAAAUGCAAAUUGAUGUUCGUAAAUAAAUGUAGAUACAAAAAAUUAAAAAUAUAGAUAAUUAACGUAAAUAAAAAGAUAUUAAAGUUGGAACAAAUAUACCGAACGCUUGCGUAAAAGCGGACGCAUAACAAAUGUCGGAAUUAAAAGAUGAUAAUUGAAGCUUGUAAUAUCUUCAAAAAAUCUUCAACUCCAACUAAUAUAAUAAAUGAAUCCUCAACUUCAAGUGUUUAACUAAUAUAAUAAAACUAGAAAUAUUUAGAGAGAAUUUGAGAGAAUAUUAAGAGAGAGUAUGAAAAUUGAUAAUAUUUGUGUGAAAAAAAUAAUUAAAAUGAAGUAUAUUUAUAGUAAAAUUUUUAAAGGGUGGGGGAGUAAUUGGAAGGUGUGUGUGCGUGGGUGGGGGGUGGGGGGGGGGGGUAAUAACGGUUGAAAUGCAACGGCCAAAAGAACCGUUGCAAACCAAUGGCUGAAAUUUAAACCUUACGGACCGGAAACCGGUCAACCGGUACCGAAACCGAAAUCGAAAAUACCAGAAUUUUUCAUAGGUCCAGACCGAUAUCGUAUUCCGAACCAUUGGGUACCGCUAAAUCAAAAUGAACUGGACCGUGUCGUUAUCGGUACCGAAAAUCAAUCGAAAACGUCACUAUCGGAACAGAACGGAAAAUUCCGUUGGCAGCCCUAGUGUCCAUCAACUUAUACCCUAAAAAAGAAGCGACAACCAGACCCUUUACCUUUCUUUCACCAUGCCCAAAUCAAAAAAGUCCUAGUAGCCAUAACUGUCGUGACACUACCACUAACUAUGCCAAGAUUUUCCCAUUUCUCCGUUCUUCAACUCGUGACUCCCAUAUUCGUAUAACAAUGAAAAUUUCAACUCAAAUCCGUCAUUUAAUGGACUGAAAAAGCAAUAUAAUGGGAGAAAAGAGGGAUUCAUUUGGAUUCAAAUUUUGAAUCUCCUUCUUCCCACAUUUUUGUGAAUUUUUUAUUUCAAAUUCGGACUUUGAAGCACGAAUUUGCACUUAUAAAUAUGGGUUUUUUCCAUUCUCCAAGGACAAGAGCGAAAAUAAGGGGAAAGGGGGCUAAAAAUUCAAAAAGAAAAAGAGAAAGUCCAAAAAAUCACAAGUUGAAAGAGGAGAAAUCAGUGAGGAAAAAAAAAGGGUAUUUGAAAAAAUCACAAGUAAGGUUACAAAAUUGCUAGUUUCCCUUUCUUGUUUUCAAUCUAACUCUAGUUCUUGGAUUUAGAGAUUGGUGGAGGAAAUACUUGACGGAAAGCUCCAGGUCUGUUGUCCUAAACAAGGUGCGAUUUGGCUUUUUUCAUUUUACAUCUUCUUCUCUUUCGUCUAUCUCGGUUCAAUGAAUAUGUGAUUCUCGAGUUCAUGUUGUUGUUUUGUUUUUCUGACCCUGUGGAUUGAUAUGAAUUUUGAUUCUAAAAAAAAUGGUUUUUGUAUGUGAAGAAGUGAUCUAUUUUGGUUUCAAGCUUGGUUAUGGUGUUAUUGUUCAUUAUCCACAAAUCGAGUUCACAUACAUAGUUUAGUUUGAAGCCUAUAUCGUUUGAAAUGUGUUGUUGCUUUCUUGUUUUAACUCACUAUUAAAAUAUGAGUUUUAAAAAGCAGAAAAGAGUAUCAAAAUAUACUGUUCAGUGAACACCCUCUUGUGUUUUUGUUGGUAUGUCGUGAAUAGAGCACAUGAAUCGCCCCAUUACUUUAUCUCCAUUCCUUUCUCUAGUUUUACCUGGUUUUACUAGUAUUUUCAAAAUUAUGGGUAAAUCAUCCCUUCUAAACUCAUUUGUCGCUUGUCUUGUCAUUUUUUGGGGUGAAUUUUUGAAGUGUAUGAGACAUAAAUAAAAGUCAGUCCUCUUGUAUCCUUCUUUCGCUUGUCUUGAUUUUACGGAAAUAUGAGUUUUUCAUGCGUAAAUCAUCUCAUUUCAUUUGUUACCAUAAUGUGUGAUGUAUAUGGUUGUUAGAGAAUGUGAGUUCAAACCACUAUUGGAAUAAAAUAUCAAAUGAAAAGGUAAACUAGAAUGUGUAUUUCUAUUUACUUUGACCUAGAUGUAUAAAUUAUUUGCUUAUGCGUCUUGUGAAAAUCUGUUAGCUUUGUGUUCUAAAUCAUAAAUUAUUUUUUCUCUUCUUACGGGGUGCGGGUUUUUAAGUGGUUCGGCUACAUUUGUUCCAUAAUUUUUAAAUUUACACAAGUAACAAGGAAACCGUUUUGCUCUAUAUGCAUUAAAAAUCAGCAUAAUGUUAAGUCUCCCUUCUCUGUUUGCCUCGUUCUUAACCAAGUUUUCUUUUAAAUGAAAGAGCAAUUGGUGUGUUUAUUUCAUGAAGUGUGCGUGCCCAAAUUACUGAAUUAGUUAGCCAUUUUUUAGUAUUGUUAUUAAGUUGGCAUUUCUGUUAGUGAAAGCCUACUAGCAGUAGUUCUUUUAAUACAAGUUCCACAUUUGUUUGGUCACAUCUUUACAGUCCAAAGGAUGCCCUUCACACUUGUCUUCAUCCUUUGGACUGUAAAGAGUUAGUCUUUUCUCAUGAAGUUUAUGUGAAUGAAUUUUGAUGAAAAACCUUUGUGAAUCCCUUGAAACGUGGACUUUAGUUGUGAUAUCUAGAUAGAAAUAAUUGAUUUGUUGUAUCAUAAGUUUUGACCAUGUAGGUGACUAACUUUUGUUAAAGGGACUUGAAAAUUUUGUAUCUAUGGCCUUGAUUCAUAUUAUAUCUCCAAGCAACUAUAUUUUAUUUCUAUAUGUGGUUGUAUUUUUCUCAAGUUCGAAUUAAAUAAAAGAUAUCUAACGAUUUCAUCCAUAGUUUGUUAAAAUGAAUCUGUUGAAAAUUCAUUUAGCUUGAUCCUAAAAUAAAACGUGUUUGUCAAUUUAUAUUAUAAGUAACUAGUUUUGAAGUGUUAUUUUGGUAGUGUCUGGCCUACGCCUAAUCUUCUUCCAGAAUCAUUAUAGUGACUUAUCUAUUUUUGCACGUUUUGUGUUAUUUAAAGACAAUUACAUUUGUUAUUUAGUUCACUUUACAUACUUAUAGUGUUGAAUAUGUUUUUAAUCCUUGUCAUCUUUUUGUUUCAUAUAAAUUCGGGAGUUGAAGUUUCAAUAGAAACUCCAUUUUGAUCCAAACAUCGGGUCAUCCGCUACUAGGAUUACAGUGCUUUGAAAUCUCGAUAAUUAAAAUCUCAAAUUUCAUUGGGGGUCUAGUAUCUCCGGGCUUUGAGCUGUAGGUAACAAAAGCUCAAUUACUUUGAGGUGUACGUGACUCAAGUCUUAAUAAUUGAGUGGAAGUGAUAAUUACUUUAUUAUGGAUUAAGAAAGUUGGAAAAAUUUAAAAAUAACUCACAAGUUUUUAAAUUUACACUUUGAUCUAAAUGACAGUUAAUAUAACGAAAAACGGGGGAAAAACGCGUUUCUCUCUCUUCUCAUCCAUUGUUGUUUUCCUCCUAUUAGCGAUUUUUAUUGUUCAUUGUUGCUACUGCUUUAUUCAUCAUCUUCUACUUCAUUAUUAUCUUCAUCUUCUUGUUGUUGACCAUUAUUGUUGUUGUUGUUUCCGUUAUUGCUGCAAUUUGAUCAAUUUCUUAGGUCAAAUUUUGUUUCGUACAUCACUUUCCACUUUGGCAUUACUUCAUAGGAGACUUUGGUAACUCAAUUUAUAAUUUUUAGUUGAGUUUGCCAUCUGGGUAACUGCUAUUGUGCUAUUUUUUCAACAAUAGAUAGCACGCGAACAUGAAUGCAACAGAAGAGCCAUCUGUUUAAAUAGAUCAAUCAUUUGUUGCGAUAGAUGAGCCAUUUGUUGUAACGAAAGACUCAUAUGUUAGAUUCAUGUUUAUAGUUCUAUAGUGUCGUAACAUGAGUCGAACAGAUGGGUCAUCAGUUGCAACAUAUGACCAUCUGCUGCAAGAGGAUAAAUAUAUGUUGCAAUAGAUUAGUAACCUAUUGCAACAGAACCUGAACUCGAUUUUAACAGACGUGUUGUCUAUUGCAACAAGGUAAAUAUCUGUUGUAAUGGAUUAGUAACCUGUUACAAUAGAGCCAAAACUUGAUUCCAACAAACGCAUCGUCUGUUGCAAUAGGUACGUCAUCUAUCGCAACAUGUUAAUUAUCUGUUGCAAUAUGUCACUCAUCUGUUGGAAUCAGCUUCAAAGAUUUCUUAGUACGGUAACAUUUAUCCCAACAGGCGCUUCAUCUGUUGCAACAGAUAUAUAGUAUGUUGCAAUAUAUGAGUUCAUCUGUUAAAACAGAUGACUUGUCUGUUUAAAUUAGCUUUAUGAGCGUAACAUGAAUCCCAACAGGUAAGUAAUCUGUUGCGACUGAUCACUUACCUGCUGCAACUUAUUUUUCACUUGUUGCAACAGUUUACACAUCCGUUGGGAUUCAUGUAUGACACUAUGAAAUCACUAUUAAUUUUUUUAACAAAUGACUUUAUUUUGGUACCACUAAUAGAGGGACAAAUAACAACAGCUGUGGAAGGGGGUGCAAUAUUAGAGACGAUAGCUAUGACAGUACAAAGUGAUAUUUCGUAUGAUGAUUUUGUGAACUUAAUCAUCAGCUAUUAUGGACUAAAUUGUCAACUGGAAGAACUCAUCAUUAGCUACAUGCAUAGCUCCUUUGAAAAUCAGAGGGUACCAUCUUUCAAGAUAAUCGAUUAGGUUCAGCUGCGUGCUUAUCUUAGUGAUUUAUUCAGGCCGAUGUUAAGGGUGUACGUGGUUGAAAAGAUGAGAGAAAAUGAGAACUAGAAUGUAGAAGAAAAACAACAACAAUACAUCUUUGAUGAUAUGUUGGAUGAUCUAGACAUGAGUACUCUAGAUGAUGAUCAAACACCUACGCCCGUUGAUGCGACCAAUAUGAUGGACAGUUCUUCUUGAUCAACACAGUCUAAUAAUCUUCAAGAUGACACUAAUGGCUUUUUUUAAUGGAAUGUCAUUCAAGGACAAGAAAAAACUACCUACUACUUUGUUUAUUUCUGGCUUGAAAAAAGAUUUCAGAAUAAAGAAGGUGAUUAAUUUAAACAAUGUCUUUUGCUACAAAUGUGCUAAUCCGAAUUGUAAGUAAUGGUUGAGAGUAGUGAAGUACUUAAGUUCUGACAGAUUCAUCAUUCAUAAACAUAAAAGUAUCAUACAUGUGGUUUAGAGCACAUCUCGGGCCAAAAUCCACACGCCACGUCAAGGGUCCUCGGUAAUAUUUCAAGAAUAGUUUCCUCGAUGACAAAGACCCUUUUACAAGGGUUAUGGCCAAUCAACUCCUUACGGAAUUGGGUGUCCUGGUCAGUUAUUGGAAGAUAUAUAAAUGGGGAUUGCCAAGGACUUGGUUAGGGGGACACACGAGCAUGGGUAAAUGUCUACCAUUACAUGCUUGAGUCCACAAAUCCCCGAAGUAAAACAGUGUUGCAUGUUGAUGAAAAUGGAAGGUUCAAGUACUUUUUUAUGUCAUAUGGUGCUUAGAUUCAAGAUUUUAGACAUUUGACACAAGGAAUAGCUGUUGACGGUACCUUCUUGAGGAGCAAGUAUAAUGUAGUUCUGCUAGUGGAGUGGCACAGGAUGCAGAGAAUCACAUCUUUCCUGUCGCUUUUUGUAUAGGAGACAAGGAAUAUGAUGCCUCAUAUGGAUUUUUUUUAACAACUGCGAAGCUGUGUCGAAGAUACUGAAGAGUUGUGUUUUGUUUUGGAUAGGCAUCUAAGUAUUCCAAAGAUGGGUUCAAUUUUCUUCACUUCAGCUUACUUUAGUUGUUAUAUCAGGCAUCUUGGAGAGAACAUUCAGACCAACUUUCACAAUGAAAGGGCUGUGACCCUUUUUUAUAGAGCAGCUAAAACAUAUAGUAAAGAGGAGUUUUUAGACCAAUUCAAUCAAAUAGCGGAUGUGCAUCCCCAGGCAGUAGAACAUCUCGUAUGUGUCGAUUUUGAGAGAUGGAGUCGGGCAUUCUGUUUGGAAAAUAGGUACAUUCUUAUGAAUUUUAUGUCUCGUUUGAGUUACAAGUUUAGUAUGAUGUCGUACUAAGUGAUUAUUUUGUAUAGGUACAAUAUUGUGACGUCAAACAUAACUGAAUUGGUGAAUUCAUUGUUUACCGAUUAUAGAGAAUUUCCCAUCAAGGCUCUAUUUAAAAUAAUAAACAAGAAGUAUGACCAAUUUUUUAAUGAAAGACAUGUACAGUUCAAGGAUGCAGAAACCCCAUUUGUUCUAGAAAUGGAAAAAAUAAUAUCAACGAACAUUAGUCUUGGGAAUAGGUUAUUAUCCCAUCAAAUAAUAGAUUACAAAUUCAGUAUCACCGGUGAUGGUAAUGUUGCCACGAUCGAUCUUUAAACAAGAUCUAGUACGUGCAAAGUUUUUGACUUGGACAAAAUACCCUAUCCACCUGCUAUGGCAGCACUUCGAGCUUAAUACGAUGAAAAAUAUGGACUUAAAAUUUAUGAGCACUCAUCUUCAUAUUAUUCGGUGGAAAAAUAUACAAUGGUAUAUAGUAGACAUAUUACUCUGGUGCCUCCCGAAGAAUCAUGGGUUGUUCCAGCAGAGCUUUUGGGGAGAUUAAUACCUCCUCCAUAUAUUGACCCAAGCACUAUUAAAUCGGGAAGAAAACCAUAUAAGAGGAGGUGUGGAGUCGGAGAAUCUUUUCUAUCAAGAAGAAACAAGUGCUCCGUUUGUAAGCGUACUGGCCAUAAAAGAACUACAUGCCUGGAUCGUAAUCCACCAUGAUCGUUGAAAUUGCAAAAACUUGUGUUAUUAUUUGUUGUGGACUUUUAUACAUUUAACUCAUUGUUGUGAGUAUAAUGUUAUCAUUUAUUAUAUAUAAAAUAUCUUUUUUAAUAACUUAUGCAUCAAUAAAAAUAGGCAAAACAUGAACUAAAUACAGCAAAUCACAAUUAUUUUCAACAGAUUACCCAUCUGUUGUAAUAGAUGGACAUUAGCUGGAAGAACACAAUAUAGUUCAUCAAACUGGAAUAUUUUCCUCCAAUAAAUGACAAAUUUGUCGCAACAAAUGGAUGAUCUGUUGACUGAAACCCAACUAAUGACCAAUCUGUUCCAACACAUGGUCCAUCUAUUGAAAGAACUCAAAAGCCAAAAUUGUUAUUGCUACUGAAUUUAAAAUUGCUCCUUACCUCCAACCGUCAACAUGUUAACAUGUAUGUUUAAAAGAAAAAAUAGAAAGAAUGAAAAUUAAAUAAGAAUUAAAAAACCAAAGUCGACUAAAAAUAAAUUUUUCAUUAAACAAAAAAUAAAAUACAUUAGGUAUAGAUCCAAUAUAGAAAAAUUAAAAUACAUACGCUUAAAGAAAAACACAUUCUAAUUAUUAUUAUUAUCAUCAUCAUUAUUAUUAUUGCAGGUUGACCAAUCAACCGAUAGCAGCAGGGCCCUUACCAGCCUCUGCAUCUCUCUGAAUAUUCUUGCUCUCACGGCGACCAACUCUUUUGCAGGCCAUUAACUUGCCUCUGAAGUUCCCGCGCGGUGUCGUACAGAAUAGCGAUGUCCCAACAGGAUCAGUCGUAUCUAGAACACGCAUGAAUUGACUAAAACGUAAACACAAAAGUAAAGAAAAGAGUUCGAAUAUAAUACAACAUAUACUACCAACUGGUAGAUUUACACAGGAAAAAACUUACCUCAAUGAGAAAGGAAUAUACUUUUUGCAUAAAGUAGUUGAAGAUGUAAUACGAAAAGAGAAAAUGCAAGAAAUAAAUAAAAGUGAAGUAGAAUGAAGAUUAAGAAGGUACUUAUUUAUAAAGGAUUGAAUCUGAACAUGUUAGGCAAAAAGGCAUGAUUGUUCAGCUCUGUUGUAUUAAUUACAUUCAAACUAUUGCCUUUUUGUUUUCUAUGAAAAGUCGCGACUUUUUCUUUUUACAUUUAAACUUCUUACCUUUUCAAAACAACAUGAGACUUAAUAACGACCGUUUUUAUUGAGUUGUUGUAACAGAUCAUCCAUCUAUCAUAAUAGAUAACCCACUGUCACAAUAGAUUUACCAUUUAUUGUAACAAAUGGUCUAUAUAUGCAAUAGAUGAGAUAUCUGUUGCAACAUACGGAUUAUCUAUUGCGAUAGAUGUUUUGAUUUCUUCGAACAACUGAUUCAUCAGUUGCAAUAGAUGAAAAAUUUGAUUCAUCAGCUGUUUUGAAUGAUUUACCAUAUGUUGCAAUAGAUGGUCGGUGUGUGCAAUAGAUGAGACAUUUUUUGCAAUAUAUGGAUUAUCUAUUGUGACAGAUGGACCAUCUGUUGGAGGAGAUUUUUUUAUUUUUUCUAACAACUGAUUCAUCAGUUACAACAGAUAGGGAAUUUGAUUCAUCGGUUGUUUUGAAUGUGUUAGACAAAAAGUCACGACUGUUUACCUCUUUUGUAAUAGCCAUCAGAUAAAUAAACAUUGUUCAACAUUGAUGGGGUAGGAAGAAUAAAGUGUGUGAAGAUAAAUAGAUCCACUUUCAUGUGUGGAAGUUAUGUAUUAUUGAUCAGGCUAUCGUGACAGACAUACAUAAAGUACAAGUAUCUUGUGAAUGCAGUUUUUUACCGAUUAGACAUUGAUCCUUCAAACAAGAUCCUGCAUUUUAUAGUUUAGUUUGGUAGGUGUGAACUGAUAAUGCCGAAGGAUUCCAAGACGGUGGUGUUGAUACCCUGUUCUAAUUUAAUGACAGUUUUGCUUAUGUUUAUAUGUCAAGUUUAGAGGAGGGUUCAAGUUUUUGGCGGCAGUGUAAAUUUUCAAUAAUAAUUGGAUCUAUUUUAAUGGUCCAAUGGAUUUUUGAAAGGCCUCUGAAGCCUCGCACUGCAUCAAACAAGAAUGAAAAACCAAUAGAAAUUCUCCUGGUCUAAAUUUAUAUGGAUGGGUUGCUCGAAAAGACUAUUAUAUAGCAGAAGGUGCUUGGGAGAAUACUUGUGCGAGAAGGGGGAGGUAGAGAAGACUAUAUAUCAUCUCAGACCUUGUUUAAGAAGAAAUACAGGGAAGCAAGAAGGAACUUCUAGCGAAUCUGGCCAAUGAAAUUGACUUUAGAGAUGUUAAAAUUGAAUAGCUUCAAAUGUGAAAGUGUAUCCAAAUAUUAAAAUCAGUUAGUCAUUCUUGAAAAAGAAAAAUGCUCAAGAGGACUGGAGCUGGACACUUUGCUAGGGAUUGCGACUAGCGAGCGUAGCCUCAAUGAAGACCCACAAAGUGAAGGACCAGAACUCUAAGGAAACAACUUGGAGAGCACAGGAGAUUGAUAAGAUUUUCAGUCAAGAAUAAAACCUGAACCAACAACUCCAGAAGUAAAAAUAAGGGAAGCCAAGACGUCAAUUUCUGAAGUUUAACUUGCAUUUCAUGCCUUCUGUUUGUAGCUCUAAUCAAGUCAAUGACAGUAGAAAUAAAAAGGUCUGAAGUUGGGCAAAACUCCUAUGCCUUGUUGUUUCCACUACCUUUGACUUAACCAGAGCCAUAAACAAGAGGCAUGAGAUAUAAGUUUAACUUUAGAAAUUACCAUCUUGGCUUGAUCUUUUCUUUUUUACUUCAGGAGUUGUUGGUUCAGGUUUCAAUCCUGACCGACAAUCUUAAUACCAUUAGUGCUCGCAAAGCUGCAACCUUAGAGUUUUGGUCCUGCAUUUUGUGGGUCUUCAUUCGGGCCACACUAGCUAGUUGCAUUCCCCGAUCAAAGUGCAUAACUUCAAUCCACUUCAACAUUUUUCUUUUCAAAAUGGAUGAUGGAUUUUCAUUUUUGGAUACACUUUCACAUUUGCAGCUCAUUCAAGUUUUUCAUUUUUCAUGUUAAUUUCAUCCGCCAGUUUCACUACACUUUCCUUCCUGCCUUGUGUUUUUUCUUAAAUAAGGUCUAAGUUGAUAUAUGGUCUUCUUCACCUCCCCCUUCCCGCACAGGCAUUCUUUCAAUCACCUUUUAUUGUGUAAUAGUCUCCUUGAGCGACCCAUCCAUAUAAAUUUGGACCAAAGCAGUAACUAUAUUCAUUUCCAUUCUUGUUUGUAAGAGUGCAAGGCUUCGAAGGCCUUUCAAAAGUCCAUUGAACCCCUAAAAUCAGUCCAAUCACUAUUUGAAUGUUUACACUUCCACUAAAAACUUGAACCCUUCUUCAAACUUGACACAUCAACGUUAGCAAAAUCUUUAUUAAAUCGUAAUAGGGUAUCGACACCCCUACUUGGUCCCCCAGUCUUACUAGUUCGAACCUAACAAUCUUAACUGUAAAAGGCCAUAUCUUGUUUGAAAGAUUAAUGCCUAAUAGGUAAAGAACCAACAUUCACAAAAUUAAUAUACUCCAUGUGUGUUUUCAUGAUAGGUUGACCAGUAAUAUAUACCUCCCACAUAUGAAGUGGUUCCAUUUGCAAGCAGCUUAUUCUUCUAAACCCAUCUUUACUUUAAUGUUGUUGGGCAAAAGUUUAUCUAGUUUCACUUCCUUUAAUUUUCAAACAAAAGAAAAAUAUUUGAUGUCAAAUAGGAGAAGAACAAAAAGAACAUUACAAAAAGUUAACACAAAAUUGAAUAAAUCAACAAAUAACCCCUCUUAUGCAACAGAUUCUCAGUCUGUUCAACAUAUGAGUUAUCUGUUGCAAUAAGCGACACAUCUGUGGCAACAGAUGGAUAACAUAUUACAACAGAUGGGUCAUUUGUUAGAAUAAAUCAACCUAGCCUUGCUACUGGUUUGAUUUCUUCCAAUAGUUGCUCUGUCUGUUCCAACAGUUGAUUCAUCAGUUACAACAUCUGAGGAAAUGAUUGCAAUACCACUAACAACAUCAACAAUACCUUAUGUUCCAACACCAUCAAUAACACAAACACCACAUGUUCCAACAACACCAACACUCAUUUAUCAAUAAAUAAGAAAUUGGUAAUGGGUAAAUUAAUAAUAACAAUAGAUGUAAAUAUCUAAUUUAAAUAACAUACAAAGAAAAAGACGAGAAGGAAAGAGCAAUAGUGAACUAUACCUGCAAUGUCAAAAAAGCAAAGGGAUUAAAACACCCAUUUCAGUCGAGCAAAAAUAUUGGGGGGGUCAGUUGAGAUCUGAAAGGGUCUUGAUGCUAAAGAGGAGAUAAAAGAGAGAAAACAAUGAGGUGAUUAUGAUUAUCCUAAAGAGGAGAGAAAGAGAAUUCUAAAUCUAAAUAAAAAAGAGAGAUGAGUAGUGUAAUUUAUGGAUGAAGGAGAGAGAAUUCUAGAGAUGGGUUUUAUAUACUCAUUAAUAACUUUUGAGGGGCACGAGGAGACGGUGACAUUAAAAAGACAUGAUAAGACUACUCAAGGAGGAUAUUUUUGAGUUAUUCAAGUAAUAUUUUUUAUUGCCUUAGUAUUUUAUCCUUUUUAUCUCGGACAACAAAUUAGGAAAUUUCUUUAAAUUAAAAAAAUCUUAAAACAUAUAAUUCAUCUUUUGCAACAGAUGAAAAUUUCUGUUUGAAAAUUUUCAAUGGCUCAAUCAUCUGUUGUGAUAGAUGAUAAUUUUUGUUUGAAAAUUUUCAACUGCUCAAUCAUUUUUCGCAACAUAUGGCAACACCUAUUUGAUAAUUUACAACAUAUAGUUAAUUUGUUGUAAUAAAUGACUUAAUCUGCUUGAUAAAUUCUAAUAGAUAAGUCAUCUAUCACAAUAUAUGACAAUGCCUAUUUGAUAAUUUAGAAAAGAUAGUUAAUCUGUUGCAAUAGAUGACUUAAUCUCUUUGAUAAAUUCAAACAGAUAAAUCAUUUGUUGCAACAGGUUGAACAUUUGUUUUUAUAUAAUUUUAAUUGAGUUCAUAUGUUCAACUACAACUUUAAUUAAUUUAGCUAGAACUAGGGGUGAGUUCAAGGGGUCAACUAUAGCUUCAAUUGAGUCUUUGACAAUUGCAUGAUGUUGGUAUUACAUUCCUACUUAGUCACAGAGUCAUCGAUCGAUCACUCUUGAGUUGAAGCGAUUCUUAUUAUCACGUUGUCAAGCUAAUACCUAAAUUGAUUAAUCUUGGACUAGGGGUAAGUUCAUAGGGUCAAAUACAACUUUAAUUGAGUCUUUUGGCAAUCGUAUGAUAUUGGUAUUGCGUUCCUCCUCAGUCACAGAGUCGUCGAUCGAUCACUCUAAGUUGAAGUGAUUCUUAUUACCUCAUUGUCAAGCUAAUACCUAAAUUUAUUAAUCUUGGACUAGGGGUGAGUUCAUAGGGUCAACUACAACUUCAAUUGUGUCCUUUGGUAAUUGCAUGAUGUUGGUACUACAUUCUUCCUCAGUCACAGAGUCGUCGAUCGAUCACUCUGAGUUGAAGCGAUUCUUAUUACCUCAUUGUCAAUCUAAUACCUAAAUUGAUUAAUCUUGGAAUAGGGGAGAGUUCAUAGGGUCAACUACAACUUCGAUUGAGUCUUUUGGCAAUUACAUGAUGUUUGUAUUGCAUUCCUCCUUAGUCACAGAGUCGUUGAUCGAUCACUCUAAGUUUAAGCGAUUCUUAUUACCUCAUUGUUAAGAUAAUACCUAAAUUGAUUAAUCUUGGACUAGGAGUGAGUUCAUAGGGUCAACUACAACUUCAAUUGAGUCUUUUAGCAGUUGCAUGAUGUUGGUAUUGCAUUCCUCCUCAGUCAUAGAGUCAUUGAUUGACCUCUCUAAGUUAAAAUAAUUCUUAUUACCUCAUGUCAAGCUAAUACCUAAAUUGCUUUAAAAUAAUAAUAAAAAAAGAUCUUAAAACGGAUAAGUCAUACUUUCCAACAGAUGAUAAUUUCUAUUUAAAAGUUUUCAACGGCUCAGUGAUCUAUUGCAACAGAUGACAAUGCCUAUUUGAUAAUUUACAACACAUGGGUAAUCUGUUGCAAUAGAUGACAUAAUUUGUUUGAUAAAUUCCAACAAAUAAGUCAUCUGUUGCAACAGGUUGAAUAUUUGUUUUAUACAAUUUCAAUUGAGUUCAUAUGUUCAACUAUAACAUUAAUUGAUUAAUAUCUAGGAUUAGGGGUGAGUUCAUAACGUCAACUUCAACUUCAACUUCAAUUGAGUCUUUUGGCAAUUGAAUGAUGAGACGAUUAAAAAUUAUGCAUAUCUUUUAAAAUUUUAAAAAAUAAUUAAGAUCAAUUCAGACAAACUAACAUUUUCAAAACUUGUCAUUCUUUUCCAAAAUACAAAUCAACCCAUAUAAAUCAUCCAUUUGCGAGAAAAAUGUUUCAUCAUUUCAUAUUUCAAGUUCUCACUUUUUCUCUCUCUCAACAAUACAGACAAUAAUUACUCAACAAAUUGCCCAACCCUUCACAACAGACCAAUUUUCGCAUUUUUGACUACAUAGGUGUUAUUUUUGACUUUAUUCUUGCUUGUAUCAUUCAUUUUCUCUGUCUUUGUAUGUAAUAGAGUUCGAGAAGAGUUCUAUAUUUGAUAUUUUUUCUAAAAAUUAGGGCUUUUAUUUAAUGAUAAAAAGAAGACUUUUUGUUGUAUUAUCUUCGAGAAUGGGUUUACAAUUUUGAGUUUUAAUGGUAAAAUUAUAGAAAAAACCAAGAAAACCCUAUUUUUUGUCGCAGUGUUUCGUUGUCUAUCGUGGUAUCAUUGAAUGGUGUUUUUGGUGUUUGUGGUCAUAGUGGUUGUGUUGGUGGUCUUUGUGGUGGCACUAGUGGUGUUUGUGGUAGUUGUUGGUGGCAGCUGUUGGUGGCAUUAGUUGGUGGUGUUUGUGGUGGCUGUUGGUAGUGUUUGUAAUGUAUUUUUUAAAAUUUAUGCAUACAUCAAUUGUAAUAUAAUUUUCUUCUCCUGUUGUUUGUAGGUAAAACAUGUCUCCCAAAAGAAAAGAAUGCAAAAGUGGAUCAACUUCUGACCACCUAAUAAAAAAGGCCCCAGUACAGAGGGAUUUAGAGGAUCUUCCUGAACAAUCUCAGUCAGGAAAAAGUGAAGCUGAGGCAAGUUAUGAAAAUGACAUUUAGGGAGGUGAACAAGGGUUUGUAGAUGGUGAUAAAAAAAUGAAAGUGGUGAGGAGGAAGAAGAAAAUAAACAAGAAGAGGAGGGAGAAGAAAGUGAGAAAGAGGAUGAUAAUGCAUCACCAAUGGAGCGUGAAUUAAUAUCGAAAUCCCAGUAUGAGGCUAUCAGGCUAUCAAAACUAUUAGUAUUUAUAGGUUUCAAGUUGUGAUGUCGAUAAAUAACCCUGCAAAACUAAUUGGUGAUCUUGUUCUUAAAUGUCAGUUGGGGAAACCUUUUGAAGAAUUUAGGAAUAUUAUAAAGAAUGAAAACAUAGAUGGACU